UACGUAGGGAGCAAGCGUUGUUCGGAUUUACUGGGCGUAAAGGGCGCGUAGGCGGCGUGACAAGUCACUUGUGAAAUCUCCGGGCUUAACCCGGAGCGGCCAAGUGAUACUGUCGUGCUAGAGUGCGGAAGGGGCUACUGGAAUUCUCGGUGUAGCGGUGAAAUGCGUAGAUAUCGAGAGGAACACCUGCGGCGAAGGCGGGUAGCUGGGCCGACACUGACGCUGAGGCGCGAAAGCCAGGGGAGCGAACGGG
rnacentral:rRNA from 1 species